rnacentral:tRNA from 1 species
GGAUGUUUAGCUCAGUUGGUUAGAGCACCGUGUUGAUAACGCGGGGGUCUUUGGUUCGAAUCCAAAAAUAUCCACCA